rnacentral:lncRNA from 1 species
CAAUCCAUAUGUUUCGUUGUCUACUCCAUUUGAUCUCACCAAAUCUUUGGGCGAAUGUUUACCUGUAAAACGGUAAAGUUGAAUUUGUUCGUAAUUUUUAGACAAGUGAAUUAAUUUGAUCCAAAAAAUAAUGAAAUAACUGAUGAAAUAUAAAAUAUUUAGCCUUAAAAUGUAGAUGAAACGACAGAGCGGAUGAGUCCGAGAACAGGGUUUCCGGGCACAAUAAUAAUGAGAUCAAAAACAAGAAAGUAAAUAAUAUUAAGCUCUGUAUAGAGUGUAGUAUAACUUUGCUAGAAAAUUCGUGUCCUUUACAAUGAAAACUACGCUCUCUAUUUAUAGUUAUGUCUAGGGAAGGAGGUCCUAGGAUCAUGCCCUUCUUUAAUGUCAAUUAUGAGGGCCAGAUGAAGAUGUAACGGUAGACAUAAAUAUCAAAUUUCCUGUAACGGGUCAUCAUCCUUAAUGCUACAAAGCAUUUAAUACUCCUUUUAUGAUCGUUAUUCCUUCCGGUGACAAGCGGAAUAGCUAUGUUUGGCGGCUAUCUUCAUCUUGGGUUCCACGUGUCCUUCCUUUAAGUGGCCACGUAUCAUGUCGUAUUUUUUCCUAUGCAGAUAGUCCCCCUGCUUUCCGGUGACACAAUCUUGUGUUAUCGGAAAGUUGGUAGAAAUACUUCUUUUGGCGGGAAUUACUAUAACUCCCUCUGCAGUCUUCUGACGGUUAAUUUGACGCACGUCUCUCCGCACUUAAUGCUCUGAACACGUGUCAACCCAUAAUUUAGCAUAGCUUUUGCCGUUUAUCGAGGUAAUCAAGGCCAUGAAUUUAGCCGCCAAAACUUUACUUAUACGCAUCAUCCUCCUCUUAUGUACUUCAUAAUUUCUCAAUUUUCUAACUUGCAUCUUUAUUUCCCAACUUUUCUCUAAUCCUCUUCGAACCAGAAAUUUUCCUUCCUUCUAUUCCAAUGGCUUCCUCUUCAAAAUGUGCUAGUUCUUCAAAGGGCAAGAACAAAGCUGAGGACUCUGCGACGGUGGGUUCCAUCAUCCCAAGGAAGUUUAACACUACAAAGGAUUUUGAAAAAAAAUUUCCUACUACUAAUUCUCGUACAUGUGCUGUUAGUAGGUAUCUUUCUUCCAUCCGUCCUUCCAAUAUUCCAACUAUGAACGAAGAUUGCCGCUGUCAUGAAUUGGACAUCAUUGCUCCUAGCCUAUAGGAGCGAGUGACCCUUCUCACGGAAGGAUUUACAUAUUUUUAUACUUAUACCUUUACUUUGGGUGCGUUUUCUUUGAGCGGAUAGCUUGAUCCCGUGAUUGCGUAAUUUUGCCUUCGCUACCAAGUGUGUUUGGCACAGGUAAGCCCUUCAGUAUGGAGGAUGGUUUCCUGCCUUCGACGCCUGUGCCAGAAAACUGAGAAAAAGCUAUCAUUAGCUUGUAUAAUGAACCUUUAUUCCCCCAAGAUUUUUCGAGGAUGUAUGAUAAACCUCUACAAACAUGACUACCAUGCUCUGUUGACUAGCAUGGAUGAUGACAACGACCAUGGGUAGAUAGAAUGGUUCAUUGCAACUGCCACCAAUAAUAUUAUUCCGUCAGCGGCAUCAUCCUCUCCAAGUGCUUGGAAUCGUACUCGUAAGAUUUCCUUUAAAUAUAUUUUCUCUUAAUAAAAAUUCUUUCAUGCAUGUAUUGAUCCUUCAACCUUCUAUGUUACAGCAACUCAAUAGAUCCCACCGGUGGGUUCAAAAGAUCUUGGACGUUACGACGUCCGAGACUCGCUUAUGGAAAAAACUGGCCCUUAAGUACGAGUUGAGGGCUAAAAGUCAUGGUAACUUUAAUUUACCUUAUUUUUGUUUUAUAUGUGAAGAAGUUGGUUGAACCCUCCUAACUUUGUUCAUGACAUUAGGUCUACUUGUGGGCUCAGUUGAUGUCCCGGGGGAGGAUUCUUUGGCUGACCCUGCUGAUGCGGCGGGGCUGCUUUAGGAGAAACUUACUCGAACAUGCAUCUCCCAGACUGCUUCGGGCACAAACGUUUCUUCACGGAGUCACCGGCCAGAGAACAAGCAACCAAAGAGAAGACGUUCCUCUAUGGCCGAGGAAAAGAAUAAGAGGGCAAAGACUGGUACCCACAAAUUAUCUCCGGUGGCGAAUGUGACUGGUUCCCCUUCCGGGCUGGUCAUAGACACUGUGAUGAUUGAUGACAAUGAAGAAGCUAGUGAUGAGAGAGCUUCUCUACACAGAAGGCGACGAUCCUCAUCGUCUCAACAAGAUGCUCGACCUGUUGAGGCAGUUUCACCAAUCGAGGACGAUUUCUCGGCAUUGUGGGGAGAGUUUGACUUGGUAGAUAAUGCCAAUUACUGUUUUCGAGCCCCAGUUGUUGUGUCCGGUACUACAGGGCUGAGUAUCGGAUCCCUGCCAUCUUUGGUUGGAGAGUAUCCUCCCACCAGCACUGCAUUUGAUGCUGCUGCUUCUCAUCCUUCGGCUCCAUCGGCUUCAUCUCCGUCUUCACCAUCACCAGCAAGUGCUACAUCAUUUCCAUCUUCAUCCAUUCCUCCACUAGCAAUUGCUACAUCAUCUCCACCGGCCUCAUCCAACCACGGAGAGGGUACUCCUCUUCCCCAAUCCCAGUUCAUGGGAAUUUGGGGCAAAAUUAUGCUGCCCCUUCUGAGGAUCCACAGAGGAGGAUGAGUGUUACCCUUUCGGUCUCCACCGGGUACAACCUGCUCUCGAGGUCGGUGGAGCUUGCUAACUAUCCGAAGCCAUUGGCUUCAGAGAAAGACUAGGAAAAUAUCCAAGCACUUUUGGGAGAGUGUUUGUUGAACAAUGCCAUGCAUAAUACCGCAGUGGUGCGCCCCUUUCAACCUUUGCUAUUUCUUUGACUUUUGCAUGAAUUUGUACUAAAUUUUAUUUAUCUUAUUUUUUAGGCCAACUUUCUUGCUUCCGAGGGCCUACAGAGGUUGAUUCGUGAGAAAGAGGAACUUACUUCUAAACAGAAUCAGCCUUUGGAGAAACGUGACCAAACUAUUCUCCGCCUCUUGGAACUGGAAACCAAAGCUACUGAGGCAGUUAUUUUGGAGGCUCGCUUGCAGCAAAGAGAGCAAGAAGUGAUAACCCUUAGCUAAGAGAUUGGCCCGCUGACGGUUAGAUUUGAUGAAGACAAGUCCAAAUGGGCUGAAGUCCAGAACGCCAUUCUUGCUGCAACCGAGCGCGAGGCUGCCAUUGCCGAAAAAGUGUCUGAAUUAGAAGUAGCCUUGAACUCCAAAAUAUAAGAUCUUGAUACUAUGGAGGCAAAGCAUGCCAGUUGGAAGAGAGGUACAGAAAAACUAUCGAGCAUAAUAGGCUCUUUAGUUCAACUGUCCUCGACCUUGAUGUUAGCCUCCAAUCUGUUAGGUCCGCCCGGGAUAGGCUCUCUGAUGAAGAAACCCAACUCAAAGAGAAAGUCAAGCGUCGAGAGGCUUCCCUCAUUUUUUGAAAAAACUUAUGCCAUGUAUAGCAUGACAAAACCUUGGAAGAGGCCAAAUCAGGCAUCAUUGACUUUGAUGCCGAAAUUGCUAGGGCCCGAGAGCUUGAGUUGGCUACUAAAAAUGGACUCCCAAUGCAGUCUGAUGCUUCUGGUUCCGGUUCCGAGUUUUCAGGGACUGGAGAGGAGUCGGAAGAUGAUGAUGCUGAAGACCAAACCAGGAAAAUUGUUGAGCCAUCGGUGAGCCCACCUGCUUCUCCCGGGGAUGCGGACGCUUCUCUUCCUACUGGUUCCGGAGAUGCUGCAAUUUAGCUUUUUUUUUCUUUUUUCUUAUCUUGUACUUUUUGCACGCAUUUGUAAAUAAAAAUUUUCUUCUGCUUAAUUAUUUUUUGAGUCUUACUUUCAUCUUAUUUUCGUUAUGCUUCUGUUUGAACAUCCAUGCAAAUAUUCAACUUUUGUGUUUGCGUAAGAAUUUUGUGCUCGUUUUCAUUUUGCGCUUUGCUAUGUGUAGUCUCGGAUGCAAAGCAUUAUCCCUUUUACAUGAGGGUUUUUAUAAGUAUUUUCACAAAUUUACCUUUUGCGUCCUUUCUUAUACGUCCUUCGGGUGCAUUUUCCCCAAAAGCGCUUUGAUUUCAUGCACAGACUCUUUCUAAACCAACCCUUUAACAUGAGAGAUUUCAUAAGAUAGGGCUCUCUUAUGUUUACGGUGCUCUUGAAGAGGACGUCUCAUGUUUAUUAUGGUACUAACAUUUGAAGUACUUGUUUAACUUUUAAAUAGCAAAAUUAAUUCAUCGUUCAGACAAGAAACAAGAUAAAAACAAAAGGAUUUUAUGUCUUUUAAUUCCUUCUAUUUUCAAAAGUACAUAAGCAUUUGAUAUGCUGAAAAAAAAUUGCCAUUACUUGUGGCUAUCUUGUACAACUUAUUUCUACGGGGUUGAUUGUGCAGUCUCCGAUCCCGAUGAUGUAUUCUGGUUUUGGAUAUUCGUUCCCCGGUUGACGUGGCAUUCAGUGUUGCCGUAUCCUCAUAUCAUUCCUCCCCCUAGUGUUCGAAUGCAAAGAAUGUGAAUUGGAACACUGGAAGUCUUGCGUCUUCAAAGAUCCCACCAAUGAAUUGCUAGACAAACCUUAACUCGGCAACAAACCUUACUUCCCCUUAGGAAUUCAUGCUAUCGAGUGAAGGAUUAUCUAACAAUCCUCUAGUGGUUUGUUCUCAUGAACGGUCGGGUAACCUUUGUCCUAUAGCAAACUUAACUUCCCAGUGGGAAUUUGCUAUAGAGCCAAAGAUUACCUAACCGUCCCCAAGUGAAGCCUUGCCAUCGAAGAUCUUAUUAUUGUUGUCUUCGCAAUAUGCUUUCUAUCGCUGCCUCAUUAAAAACCUUGCCAAAAAACCCAAUUAGGACAAAAAUUUAACGAAGGAAAAAAGAGUGCAGCAUAUACUUUUCGCUUGGGUAACGUUCAUCAACAGUAAUAUCUUUUGAGGUGUGGCACGUUCCAGUUGCUAGGUAACUUAUCUCCGUUCUGGUUCUCCAACUCGUACGAGCCUUUUCGAGUGAUAGCUGAAAUCCGAUAGGGACCUUCCCACGUUGGGACCAACUUCCCGCAUUAAACUCCCGGGUAUUUUGAGUUAGUUUCCUCAGAACUAAAUCUCCCCCUUUGAAAUAAUGGAAAUUAGCUCUUUGAUUAUAGUAUCACUCCAUUCUCUGCUUUUGAGCCUCCAUUCUUACAUGCGCCAAGUCCCUGCGUUCCUCGAGCAGUUCCAAGUUGAUUAACAUUACUUCGUUGUUAGAUUCUUCUUCCGCCUGGAAAUACCUUAAGGUUGGUUCCUCUACUUCCACCGGUAUCAAAGCUUCUACGCCGUACAGAAGGGAAAAAGGGGUUUCUCCUGUUCUUGACUUGGCCGUUGUUCGGUAGGCCCAUAGAAUCCUAGGUAAUUCUUCGGGCCAAUUGCCUUUUGCUGCUUCCAACCUUUUCUUGAGAUUUUGAAUAAUCACUUUGUUUGUUGACCAUGUUUGACCAUUUGCGCUCAGAUGAUAGGGUGAAGAGGUGAUCCUCUUUAUCUUCAAAUCUUCAAGGAACUUUGUAGCUUUUGCACGAAAUGCGGCCCAUUGUCGCAUACAAUCUCUUUUGGUAUUCCAAACCUGCAAAUUAUAUUUUCCCACAAGAAGUUGAUCACCUCGCGUUCUCCGAUCUUCUAAUAAGGACCUGUUUCCACCCAUUUAGAAAAAUAGUCAGUCAAAAUAAAAAGAAACCUUACCUUUCCAGGAGCCGGUGGUAGCGGUCCGACGAUGUCCAUCCCCUAUUUCAUGAACAUCCACAGGGACAAAAUUGAAUGUAGUGGUUCUGUCAGUUGAUGUACUAGUGGUGCAUAGCGUUGGCACUUAUCACAUUUUUGUACGAAAUUUUUGGCAUCUUGUUCCAUACGGGGCUAGUAAUAUCCUGCCCGAACUAAUUUCAGCACCAAAGAAUCUGUACCCGAGUGAUUGCCGCAUAUCCCUUCAUGGACUUCUCUCAUGACAUAGCUAGCUUCUGAUGCUCCUAAACACCGGGCCAAUGGGCCUUGAAAGGAUUUUCUGUACAAUGGGCCUUUCUUGAACCUAUAACGUGCAGCUUUGGCACGUAACGCUCUUGAUGCUUUGGGGUCUUCGAGCAACUUUCCAUGCUCGAGAUAGUCGAUUAUUUUGUUUCUCCAGUCCCAGACCAAACUAUUCGAAUUCACCUCAUAGUAACUAUUUGUGUCCAAGAUUGAGUUCAUCAGUUGUACUAUUGUCCAUGAUUCUGAUCCCUGUAUUUAUGUCGAUGAGCCCAAAAUUGCCAAUGCAUCUGCUUUCGCGUUUUCUUCCCUCGGGAUAUGAGUAAUUGACCACUCCCAGAAUCGUUCCAAUAAAGUCUAAACUUUUACCGCGUAUUGUUUCAUACGUUCCUCUUUGGUGUCAAAAAUUCUGUAGACCUGAUUUACCACCAACUGCGAAUCAUAUUUGAUUUCGAUGACUUCGGAAUCAAGCUCCCGGGCCAAUUCGAGCCUUGCAAUCAAAGCUUUGUACUCUGCUUAAUUGUUAGUUAAAGGAAUCAUUCUGAUGGCUUGCCUUAAGGUUUCUCCCAAAGGCGUGAUCAAGACUAUUCCGAGCCCAGACCCUUUUAUGUUUGAGUCUUCAUCCGUAAAUAAGGUCCAAACUCUCGAUGUUGUAUCUGACACCAUUAUUGCCUCCUUGGCUGCUAGAGGCAAUAGUCCCGGAAUGAAAUUGUCCACGAAGUCAGCUAAGACUUGUGACUUAAUUGCAGUACUCGGUUUAUACUCUAGAUCGAACUCGCUCAUUUCGACGGCCCAUUUGGCCAAUCUACCCAAGAGCUCGGGUUUAUAGAGGAUAUUUCUUAAAGGGAAAGUAGUCACCACACCUAUCGGGUAGCAUUAGAAGUAGGACCUCAACUUUCGAACGGCGACUACGAGAGCUAAGGCCAACUUUUCCAGAUGUGAGUACAGAGUUUCUGCUCCCGUUAAAAUUUUGCUUACGUAAUAAAUGGGAGAUUGCAUUCUUUCAUACUCUCGGACUAAAAUUGUACUUAUCGCAACUUCUGAGACCGCGAGGUAGACUAGCAAUGUUUUACCUUCUUUUGGUUUUGAGAGCAACGGGGGGCUUCACUAAUAUUUCUUCAACUCCUUCAAGGCUUGUUGACACUCCUAUGUCCAUUCGAAAUUGUUUUUCUUUUUGAGUAGUGCGAAGAAGCGAUGACAUUUUUUCGAUGAUCGGGAAAUGAACCUGCUCAAACCUACCAAUCUCCCUGUGAGCCUCUGGACUUCUUUUACGUUAGACAAUUUAUCCGGGAUGUCCUCUAUGUCCUUGAUUUUGUCGGGAUUUACCUCAAUUCCCCCUUGUGAGACUAGGAAUCCUAGGAACUUACCCGAACUAACCCCGAACGCACAUUUCUCGGGGUUAAGUUUCAUAUUAUGCUCCCUCAGGAUGUCGAAUGUUUCUUGCAAAUACUUCAGGUGGUCACCUGCAUUCAAAGACAUAAGGAGCAUAUCAUCUAUAUAUACUCCAUAGUCUUUCCUAUUUGUUUUUCAAACAUCUUACUCACGAGUCGUUGAUAAGUGGCUCCAACAUUUUUUUAACCCGAAAGGCAUCACAUUGUAACAAUACGUACUAAAAUUCGUUAUAAACGAAGUCUUUUCCUGGUCUUCUAGGUUCAUCUUGAUAUGAUUGUACCCAGAAAAUGCAUCGAGGAAACUCAUUAACUCGUGCCCGCCGUGGCAUCAAUCAUUUAAUCGAUAUUUGGCAAUGGGAACAAGUCUUUUGGGCACGCCAUAUUAAGAUCCUUAUAAUCUAUGCACAUGCGAAAUUUAUUAUUUUUCUUAGGAAAUGCUACUACAUUGGACAAGAGUGGGUUGCUCUAGUGGUGAGCACCCUUCACUUCCAACCAAGAAGUUGUGAGUUCGAGUCACUCCAAGAGCAAGGUGGGGGGGUUCUUGGAGGGAGGGAGCCGAGGGUCUAUCGAAAACAGCCUCUCUACCCUAGGGUAGGGGUAAGGUCUGCAUACACACUAUCCUCCACAGACCCUGCUAGUGGGAUUAUACUGGGUUAUUGUUAUUGUUGUUGUUGUUGGCUAGCCAGACUGGAUAUCUUACCUCUCGGAUUGAAACAAUAUUAAGUAAACGGGUUACCUCUUCUUUGACGAAUUUAUUCCUUGCUUCAGCAAUAGGGCGCUUCUUUUGUCUUACCGGAGGUAUGUUGGGAUCUAAGAUUAACUUGUGUACGACUAUCUCCGUUGGGACUCCUGUCAUAUCCUCGUGUGACCAUGCAAAACAAUCGGUGUUUAUUUUAAGGAAUUCAAUAAAAGCAGACCUGAGCUCCGGGUGUAGUCCUGUUCACAAAUGGAAUUUCCUUUCUAGGAAUUCUUCGAACAAUGCAACUUUCCCUAGUUCUUCUGUCGUGGAAUUCGUCGCGUCCGUCUCUUCUGGUACUUGAAAAUACCUUGGUACUUGAUAUGGUUCCAACUCUUCUGUCCCCUGGCUAACUUCCUCUGGUUUGGGGGAAGGUACUGGUUCCAGUAAUUGCUAUGUCGCAAGUUCCUUUCCUUUUCUACUGGAGAUCGAAAUUGCAUUCAUCUCCCUUGUUGUAGGUUUAUCGCCCCUUAUCUGUUUGAUCCCCUCGGGUGUCGGAAGCUUUAACAAUUGAUGAUAUGCUGAAGGCACAACUUUCAUCUCAUGCAACCAUGGUCUUCCCAAGAUGAUAUUAUACCUCAUGUCUCCAACUACCACUUCGAAGAGAGUUGUCUUCAUUACUCCCUCAGUAUUCGUGAGCAAUAAAAUUUCUCCUCGGGUUGUCACGCUUACAAAGUUAAAUCCAGCGAGGAGUUUUGUUGCCGAGAUAAUGCUUUCGGUGAGUUUAGCUUGCUUCAGUGCUCUCCAUUGUAUGAUAUUAGCUGAACUUCCUGGAUCUACUAAGACACGUUUAAUUUUAAAAUCUAACACAUUUAAAGAAAUUACCAGUGUGCGGUAACAGCAAUCGGUAUGCAUCUUUGUCCGUAAAUGUGAUAUCAUCUUCCCGGAGCCUUUUACUAUGAGUUAUUGAUACUUUUGUCUUCUUUGUUUCCGAAAAGGUGACCCCAUUAAUCUCAUUCCCUCCGAAGAUCAUGUUGAUCAUUUGGCAUGGGGGUUCUUCUCUUGCUUUCGAGGGUUCCGCGUCACCUCUAUUCAGGCCAUAAUUAUUUUUAGCUCGGUCACUCAAGAAUUCUCUGAGAUGAAAUUCUUUAACAGUGUUGCCACUUCUUCCCGGAGGUGUCUGCAGUCCCUAGUCCGAUGGCCGUUAGUACCAUGGUAUUCACACCAUAAGUUAGGAUCCCUCUAGGUGGGAUCAGAUCUCAUAAGUCUCGGGAAUUGUGCCUCUUUGAUAUUUCUCAUGGCUGACACCAGCUCCACUACACUGACGUUGAAGUUAUACUCUGAUAACUUUGGGUAAGAAGACUCUCGCGACCCCGAGAUUUCUUUUUCUUGCAGCUAUCUAUUGUUCCGGCCACUAUCGGUCCUUCUAUUAACAGUGAACUUGUCUACUGUCUGGAAGCUCCUGCCACGACCUUCGGUCCGCUCGUAGGGCAAAAAUAGGCCCUUCGAAGUCCGUCUAUCCGUGUCGUUAUCAUCUUUUAUUUUUUCUAUGUUCUUUUCUCGUCCUAUGGUCGACGAUGAAAAGCCAACCUGAUCUUCUUCGAUUCUUAUUUUUGACUCGUACCGGUUGUGGACAUCCGCCCAAGUCAUCGCUUGAAACUCGAACAGACUUUUCUUCAACUUCCGGGAAGAGUCCGAACUUCUCGGAUUUAAACCUUUGGUGAACGCUUCAGCUGCUCAUUCAUCCGGAACUGCGGGUAGUAACAUCCUUUCCUUAUGGAACCGAGUAACGAAGUCUCAUAAUAAUUCGGAUUCUCCCUGCGUGAUCCUGAAUAUGUUGGCCUUUCAGGCUUGUACCUUUCUGGCACCAGCAUGGGCCUUGAUGAAAGAAUCCGCGACUAUCUCAAUGGAAUAUAUAGAAUGCUCGGGUAAUAAUGAAUACCACGUUAAAGCUCCCCCUGUGAGAGUCUCACCAAAUUUCUUUAGCAACACGAAUUCAAUUUCGUGAGGAGCCAAAUCAUUUCCUUUUACUGCCAUCGUGUAAGUGGUAAUAUGCUCAUGAGGAUUCUAAGUUCUGUUAUAUUUUGGAACUUCAUGCAUUUUGAACCGUUUUAGGAUCAAUUCUGGUGCCGCACUCAGCUAGUAUACUUAUUUGAAUCCGGGCCCUUCAUUACUAGUGGCGCGCCCGGGAUUUGGUCCAUGCGGGCUUUUACUUCUUUCAUGAACCGUAAAAGUUCAUUAUUGAACGGGUCGUUCUCGCUGUUGAGACCGGAUCCGCUUCCCCCAGCCCCGUCAGAAUCGACUUCACCCUUGGGAGUAUUGUUGUUGACUCUCUGCAUUGUUUCGUUUUCGGAGAGGAAUUGGAUCUCGCUUGUUUGCAUUAUUCGAAGCCCCCGACAGCGCCUGUUUUAGCUCCGUCAUAACCUUAUCCUGCCGAGUGAGAUGGCCUAGAAUAAUCGCCUAUUGCUCUUGCAAGACGCUUACCGCAUCGAAGACAUGCUCUUCAUUAACAUCAUCGGGAGUUGUUUCCCGAACAUGUCGAGGAUAUUGCAUGUCAUGUAUCGGUGUAGCGUCAUUCCCCUCGUUGUGGUCGUCACAGAUUGAAUCCUAGAAAUGAGGUUGAUCCCCUCGAAAUCCAGGAUUGUGAGUGUUGUUAACAGUAUUGUCUGUCAUUUUUUUGUGAUUUUUUCUAAGACAAAACAAUCAAAGCUUGUUAGUAAAAAAAGUAAGGAUCAAUUUAAUUGCACGACUGUCUAGGCUCCACGGUGGACGCCAAACUGUUUACCCGUAAAAUGGUACAGUUGAAUUUGUUCGUGAUUUUUAGACAAGUGAAUUAAUUUGAUCCAAAAAAUAACGAAAUAACUGAUGAAAUAUAAAAUACUUAGCCUUAAAAUGUAGAUGAAACGACAGAGCUGAUGAGUCCGGGAACAGGGUUUCUGAGCACAAUAAUGAUGAGAUUAGAAGCAAGAAAGUAAAUAAUAUUAAGCUCUGUAUAGAGUGUAGUAUAAGUUUGCUAGAAAAUUUAUGUCAUUUAUAAUGAUAACUGAACUCCCUAUUUAUAGCUAUGUCUAGGGAAGGAGGUUCUAGAAUUAUGCCCUUCUUUAAUGUCAAUUAUGAGGGUCAUUAAUGAAGAUGUAACGGUAGAUAUAAAUGCCAAAUUCCCUUUAACGGGCCAUCAUCCUUAAUGCUGUAAAAUAUUCUGUAUUAAAUGUUACCGGGUGUAAAACAUUUAACACUCCAUUUUAUGAUCGUUAUUCCUUCCGGUGAAAAGCGAAAUAGCUAUGUUCGGUGGCUAUCUCCAUCUUGGGUUCCACGUGUCCUUCAUUUAAGUUGCCAUGUGUCAUGUCGUAUUUUUCCCUAUAUAGAUAGUCCCCUUGCUUUCCGAUGACACAAUCUUGUGUUACCGGGAAGUUGGUAGAAAUACUACUUUUGGCGGGAAUUACUAUAACUCCCUCUACAGUUUUUUGACAGUUGAUUAGAUAAGGAUCGGAUAAGUUACAAAACCGGAUGGCCUUUUGAUUCUCGGUACGUUGCCCCCAGCUCGAGUUAUCCGUUCGGGUAAGAUAGAUCUAGAACUUUAAACCUUUAAGGUUUAAACUUAGAAGAACAUAGCCUCAUGUAGGAUCCCUAGUAGGUACGCUUGUUUGCAUCACGUACAUUAGACUUUUGGGACUCAACACAUGGGUUGAGUCGUCUAGGACAUGUGUACCCGAAAUUAAAAAGACCAUCCUGAUGCAUCUUACGUGCUACUUUUGUAUUUGUUUGAAUUGGUUUGCAUGUUGACUCGCUUCUAGAAUAGGGAAAUAAAAUCAAGAAAAACCGAGAUAUAGAAGGUAGGAGAGAGAAAAUUGAUCGGUUCUAGAACAUCUCGGUAUUUGAAAAAAAAAGAUCCUAGAACUCUAACUAAUUUUAGAAGGAGUUCACAAAUGAGUCCGAAUUUUCAAAAAAUGACAUUUUCCCUCGGUCCUGAAAAACUCGCCGUACUACGCGUGUCUGAUUUUCACCGGAUGUGAGAUACGUAGGCAAACCUUAUCGGUUCCGGCCCCCAAUUUUCAAAAAUCUAGAAAUAUUUUCCUUUAAUUCCUUCUUUAGAAGUCUUUCCUUAGAAAAUCUCAAAUAAAAAAAAUUAACCCAAAAAUAUUUUCUUUCUUUUACAAGUCUUUCAUUCGAAAAGGAAAUAAUAAAUAAAUAAAUCAAUCAAAUCAAGAUUCAUAAAUAUGUUUUUUUUCCUUCUUUAGAAGUUUUUCUCCCAAAAACAAAUCAAAAAUCAAAACCAAAAAUUCAAAAAUAUUUUCUUUGUUCUUUGGAAGUAUUUCUUUCGAAAAUUUCCAAUCAGAAAAAAAAAAUCAAAAUCCAAAAAUAUUUUUCUUGUUAGGAACUUUUACGAUUAGAUUUUUUAAAGAGUUAAAAAAAAGGACGUUAAUUUAUUUACUUUAGACAUGAGACAGAAUUCUAAUUUUCAAUUCAAAACAACGACAGAACCUACGAACAUGAUAUGUGAUACAUAAUAAAAACAAAUUAAAUUAACAUCUGCUUACUGACUUGCGGUAGGUGAACUUAACAUAAACUAGUUUAUCAUUCCAGUUUGGAGAGUUUAAUAUUUAGACGAAAAGAUUGAAAACUGAUCAUUUUUUUCAAUGUCUAUCUCUUAGCUCUAUAUCUUGGAUUACUAAGCUACUGCUAUGAGAUGAAUAGGUGAGUUCAAAUUUAUAGUGAAUCGUAGGAUAGAUUUUGCUUUUCCUAUUUGCUGUAUUGUUGGAUGAAACAGCUUCAUAGAUUUGCUUUUAUAAAUUCAUGAAAAUCCCAGCGGUGUUGGUAUAUUACACAUUAAUUAAAGUGGCCUUCCGAUACAAGAAACUUUUGCAUACUCUCACGGCCUUAAAAAUUAAGUAUUUUUUGCUUUUCUGGAGUCAACAAUUAUUAAAUUUUAGCCAUGAAUCUUCUUAAUAAACUUUUUGAAAUGAAUGAAUUUCAGUUUGGAGUAUUUCUCUUGUAGUGUCUAGUUCAGUGUACUCAUUUUUUCCCCAAUUUGUUUGACACUUUUUUUUUGUAUAUCACGAAAAUUGACAAAUUUUUGUACUUAGAGAUUAUUUAAUCUUCCACAUUCAUUUUGUCCUAAUACGAAUCGACAUGAUUUUUCAUGAUCGAAAUGAAUAAAAAUACAACUACAAUUUGGUACUAAGGGUGCUUUUGACAUUUUAUGCAUAUUUUAAUUUUUUAAAGAUAACGUGUCCAUUCGAAUUUCCAAACAAAUGGAUGUGAGACAAAGAGAUUAAUAAACCAUUGUCAAAUCGAUUUAAUUUGUAUACAAUAACAUUUUAGAAAAAUUUGCACUAUCAAUAUAUCUUUACUUGUCACAUUAAAUAACCUAUCUUAAUUUUCAAAUUAUUAAUUUCAAUUUUAUGUGUCACACCUCCUUUUUCCCGAAGGGGAUAGAGAGUUUUUCCAAUUGAAUUGACAUUAAUCGAAAUGAAAUUAUUUAUUCAGAGUCGUCACUUGGGAUAAUUUAUGGUGUCCUAAGUCACCGGUUUAUUUCAAAUCCCAAAUCGAGGAAAUUUGACUAUGUUUUAAAGUCUGCAAAAACCAGAAGACCGGGUAAGGAAUUCUGUUAACCCGGAAGAAGGUGUUAGGCAUUCCCGAGUUCCGUGAUUUUAGCACGGUCGCUCAACUAUUAAUAAUUGGCUUAAUAAUCUGAUUUAUUACAUGUUUUAGAACCUAUUAUGCAUUUUUACCUUUUAAAACCGCUUUUAAUUAUUUAUGAAAUUAUUUGAACAAGUCGCGAUGUCGCGCACUCGUUUGUUUUUGUACACAUUGCGAAUCGCGCCACGUAAAACACAUCCAUAAUUUAUAACAUGUUAAUUUUUAUUAUUCGAAGUUAUGGUCGAGCACAUGAAAUGCACACCCAAAUUUGGAUUUAUGUAUCAUGACCAUGCCACAGGAACUGUACUCAUAGUCACGAUGAUUUAUUAUUAAUCACGCCUAAAGCAAGCUACGAUAUUUAUGAAUAUUAACGGCCAAGCAUGCUCCUAACGGUCAAAACAAUUGAAUAAUGCAAUAAAGGUUACAGUUUCAAUAUUUCAUUUCAAUUUAGCCCAACGUCCCUACGCCCGACAUGAAAGCUCAUUUAAAUAUAAGUCCAACAAAGCACUCAAGAAAAACAAAUAGCAUCCAAACAAAUAACACAUCGUGCAGCAAAUUGCUCCUGCGAUAACAUAAGGUUAUUUAAAACACGAUUCUAGCCCACUAAUAUACCAAACCAAUCUAUAGAAAAUUUCAGAGAAUUCAAGCCUAACAUAUCCAAACUCACUUUGUUACUUAAACAAAAUUAAUCCAAAUCUUACUUCCAAUUUUAAGACUUAUACUUAUCAAAUGUAGAACUAGAUUGAACAAACUAAAAUUCCCUUCAUCUUUGUUAUCAAAUGUCACUGCCCAGAGAGAAUGCUAAGCACAAAAGGAACGAGAAUCUGACAACAAAUUAAGCUCAAAUUCAUUUUAGACAUAGACCAACACAGAGGAACAUGAAUCAGAUAACCAAUCAAACUUUAAUUCAUUUGAAAUAAAGAGUGAGACAGAAGAAAUGAACCUUGAUUGAAAAAUAAAAUCGGCAAACAAGAACUGCACCCGAACCUCGAGCGGAACCUCAGACUCUAACCUCGAACAGAUUUUGGAAUUUUUGUUUUAGGCGAUGAGCGAUGAAGCUGUGUGCUGAGACCCGUUUCCUUUUGCUCUCCCCGUUGCUUUGUCCGUUCCCUCAACUCCCUCUGUUUCGUGACCUCCUCUCUUUAUGGGUGGUGUCUUCCGGUGUUAAUGGCUGAUUUACGGUGGCUUUAGGGGGUUGAAUGGGCUAUUUUUGGGGCUGGACUUUGGUGGAGGUUUGUGUUGAUUACGGUGGAGAAGAUAGGUUCUUGAAUUUUUCCGUUCCUUUUCCUUUUGUUCCCCUGUUUUUCUCUGUUUUUGUUCUGUUUGCCGUCGUGAGUGGAGUUGAAGGGUAGUGUUGAAGUUGGUGGUAAUGGGUGUUUAAUAGAGAUUAAAGUAGAGUGGGAAAUUAGGUGGCGUCCAUGGAGUUGAACUGUGGCAUCUCUCUCUUUUUUCUAAUCCCGUUCCCAAACCCUCUGCUUUUCUCUCGUCCUCUAGGCCUCUCUUUUCUCUCUUUGCUCUAUCUGUUUUUUCUCCUUUUUUGUUUUUCCCAGCCCCCUUUGUGUGUGGAAGAUCUAUAGGAACGGGGAUUAAUUGGUUGCCAAGAAAAAAGAGCGUGUAUGUGUAUGUAAUUUCGAAG